GGUUUGUGGCUCAGUGGUAGAGCUCUUGCCUAGCACUCACGAGGCACUGGGUUCAAUCCCCAGCACCA
rnacentral:tRNA from 1 species